rnacentral:rRNA from 1 species
UACGGGGGGGGCAAGCGUUGUUCGGAAUUACUGGGCGUAAAGGGCUCGUAGGCGGCCAACUAAGUCAGACGUGAAAUCCCUCGGCUUAACCGGGGAACUGCGUCUGAUACUGGAUGGCUUGAGUGUGGGAGAGGGAUGCGGAAUUCCGGGUGUAGCGGUGAAAUGCGUAGAUAUCUGGAGGAACACCGGUGGCGAAGGCGGCUCUCUGGACGAUGACUGACGCUGAGACGCGAAAGCGUGGGGAGCAAACAGG